rnacentral:lncRNA from 1 species
CGCCGCUUCCACCAAAAUUCAAAUCUCUCUUUCCUCACCCAAAACAGAAAGAAAGAGAAAUUUCAACCCUCCGCUUUUUCUCCACUCAGUCCCCCCUCCGAUCCUUCAAUUUCGAAUCAAGCUCGCAUCUCACCGGCACUUUUUUCCCGAUCCGCAUUAGCAGCAGCAGCAGCCCCUGUGCGCGUCAACGAUGAGCGAGUCCGGUGAGAGUUUCGCCCUCCAAGAGAAUAGGCUCGGCCUCAUCGACGUCUCCUUUGAGGAUGAUUGUCUAUAUGCUACUUCCUCUCCUCCUCGUGACUUCCAGUUCUCAGGUCACUUCUCAG